rnacentral:lncRNA from 10 species
AACCGUAUCUGAGCACUGCCUUUCCUUAGCCUGCCCUUUCACGUGGGAUGAUUAUCUAGAGCUGCUUCAUUUGCCAAGGUCAUCACUCCAAGGGCCUAGCCCUUCCUCUGGUCAUGUUAGGCACUACUACAAGGAUAUGAGGGCUUGUGACUUUACAUUUUCACACGAUCAUAAUGGCUUUAAUUACUACAAGGCCACAAGAGGUAGAGCUUCCAUUAAGAAACAGAAGAGCAACAUCCAAAGUACUACUUGAAGGCCUAACAUCGUGUCUCAUGCACAGAGGGUGCUUGGAUAUUUACUAAGUAAAAGAGAAUGUAUCUAGGGCAUGCCCCAUUCUCAAACACAGCUGCUAUAGAGCUCUCUGGAAAAAAAAAAAAUUGCUUUACACAGAAUUGUUGUUUGGCCCAACUUUCCUUUUCACUUCAAAUCUUUGUUUUAAAUGACCCAAUUGCCAUCAUCAUCUUGAGGCCUCAUAGGCAGCUCAAACAACAUUGCAAAAGGCCAGUGUGUUAGGUGUUCCCUACAAUGGUUGCCAAUGACCCUGCCUUCUGGUAUUCAUGCCCCUGAGAAGGCUGAACCUAGAGACUUUCUCCUAACAAAUGGAGUAUGACAAAAACUUAUGGGAUAUGAAUUCUGAGGCUAGAUGCCCAAAGACUCUAGCAUUUUUCUUGCUUGUCCUCUCUUGCUCUUUAACCCUCUCUGUCUCUCCCUAGUUUUCUUUUUCCUUCAUUCUCUCUCUUUUUUUCUAUUAGAGCCCUUGCUCCAGGGGAAGCCAGCUGCCGUGUUGUGAGUAGUUCUAUGGAGAGGCCCAUGUGACAAGGAACUCGUGUCUUGCCCAACAUCCAAUGAGAACCUGAGGCCUACCAGGAGCCAUGCAAUUGAGCUUGGAGAGAGAGGACUCUGAUCCUGGAUGCGUAAUGCCAAGCCUCGGCACGGAAGGGAAAUGUCUUCCUUCUGGAUGGCCUCCUUUCAAUUUUCGGUCACAAUGAAAUUACUUGUCUUCUUUUGUGAUUCAGAGUGUGGGAAGGAAGAUGAUAAGAGCAUCUACUGAGGUCUGCAGGGUCCUCUUCAGCCUACAUGAGAUACAAGAAGGAACAGCCUCUUUUCCUACCCUAAAUAUGACUUGGGGGCUGAUGCUGCCAUCUUGCAACCACAAGAGGAUAGACUGUGGAUCAACUCAAGUCAGAGGAGGACACCACCGCACCAAAACGUGAGGAAACAGGGCUCUUGGUAACGUCAUUGAACCAGGGAAUUAAACCUCGACGACUCUGUCACCAAACUUCUGUGAGAUAAUAAUCAUCUCAUUGUUAUGCUGCUUUUAGUCAGAUUUUCUGUUACUGUCAGUGAAAAGCCCUCUAACUGAUACACUCCAGAAGUGCCUCUCUCCUACUCUGUCUCCAUUCAUUCACCCAUGCAUCCAUCCAUCCAUCCAUAUAUUCAUGUGACAAAAAAGUAUAACACAUGCUUUUUAGGCCAUGCCAGCCAUGAGAAACAACACAAAACAAAAAACUCCCAGAGUUUUAGUUAGAGCCAUAUGCAGACUUCCUGGAACUCCGGCUCCACCAGAUCUCCCCAGAGGUCAUCAGUGCUGUUCUUACUACUGAUCACCUCCAGGAGUCCACACUGACUCUUCUAAGGCAGUGCUGGAAAGCCGGAGGUCUUCUGGGGUAUGAGGCCUCCUUUCUUGAGUACUUUCAGUCCUUCUACAAAUAUGUUUCCUGUGGAUAGGCUCUAUGCUUGGCACUGCAGUGACCACAGGAAACACCACAGUCACUGCCAUCAACACAGACAGGUGGGCAUUAGGCAGUCAAGAAAGACAGACAAAUCAACAGGCCACCUGAACACGGAUGUGCCACUGUGACCUGCAGACGCCCUGCAGCUUCUCCCUGCCUUCUCUCUGGACACUGUUAUACCCACCGUAUCUAUGGUGGAUGGGGGUUGUCAUGUGAUGUCAAGUCAGCAGGCCAUGCCGGUCCUGCAUGCUCCAAACCUUCAUAGCCAAGGAUCCUUCAGCCCUGGAAGUAGCUUUUCUUUUUUAGGUCUAGACUGAUGCCCUGAGAUGCCUUAGAAGCUUUCCUUUAAAGCUCUACUUUGCCACGUGAUAGCACUGCUUUAAUCAUUUCUAACCAGUGAUUGCUUCAGGACAGACCCUGGCCUGCAAGGUGACUUCCUAAGCAUCCAUGACAAGCAUGGGGAGGCAAUCUUUAUCUCCUGCCCUUGAUGCCUGGCUUUGGGGCCAAAGAUUCUUUCAGAGAUAGCAAUGGAAUGCAUUCUCCAGAAGCAGAAGCUUAGAUGGCAUUUGGGGUUCAAGAUGUUUUUUAGGGAAUCAUAGCCGUGAGUAGAAGACAUACAGUGCAGAAUUAGGCAGAGGGAGAAGUAGAACUAUGAUGCAGGAGUGACCGACCUCAGCCAAGCCAGUGGGUGCUUUGGAGAGGGUACUGCCCAUUGGAGUGCACCGAGUUUGGCUGAAAUGGCCAGCUUCACGCUACUCUGCCUUAUUCUGUCAUCAAUGAGAGCUGUCUUGGGAGCAUGUGACCUCAAGCAAGCAGUGCUCUGCAUCUUGGCUGGAUGGUAACAAAAGUGACAGGGGAGUCAUCUGUCCACUAUGCUGCCCACAGCUGGGUGGCAAGUCCUUCCCUGAAAGAGGAUCUGGGAGGUGUAUCUCUGUCCUUCCACCCAGAGGGAUCUGUCCACUACAGCCCACCCUUUGGACCACCUGAAUUCAUUUCUCCAUAUAUGUUCAGGAAACAACUCUUCCAGGAUUUCCAUGGACUUCUCUUCCUGGGGAGAAACUUAGAAAAGGGAAAUUCACGGUACAGCACACUGGCUCCCACCAGCAAUCCCAGC